rnacentral:rRNA from 1 species
ACUGUGCAAAGGUAGCAUAAUCAUUUGUCUCUUAAUUGGAGGCUGGUAUGAAUGAUUGGACGAGGUAGAAGCUGUCUCAUUAUUAUAAUUAUAAUAAUUUAGCUUUUUAGUUAAAAGGCUAAAAUUUUUUUGGAGGACGAGAAGACCCUAUAGAUCUUUAUAAUAUUUAAUUUACUUUUAUUUUGGUUACAAAUUUUUUAGUAUAUUAUAAAUUAUUUUGUUGGGGUGACAUGAAAAUUUAUUUAACUUUUCAUAUAUUUAAACAUGAAUUAGUGAAUAUUUGAUCCAUUUUUAGUGAUUACAAGAAUAAGUUACCUUAGGGAUAA